AAAUUGUUUUGAUGGCUGCUGCUUUGUAAUAUAGUUUAAGGUCAGGGACUGCAAGGCCCCCAUCAUAUGUUUUUUUUUUUAUUAUUUCCCUGGAUAUCCUUGAUCUUUUGUUCUUCCAAAUGAACUUUGUUAUGGUUUUUUCUAAAUCAGUGAAGAAGUACUUUGGUAGUUCAAUGGGUAUGGCACUAAAUAGAUAAAUAAGUUUGGGUAGGAUGGUCAUUUUUAUUAUAUUGGCUCAUCGUAUCCAUGAGCAGUUAAUGUUUUUCCAAUUGCUCAAGUCUAGUUUUAGUUGUGUGGAGAGUGUUUUGUAGUUGUGUUCAUAUAGUUCCUGUGUUUGUCUUGGGAGUUGGAUUCCUACCUAUUUUAUUUUGUCUAAGGUGAUUUUGAAUGGGAUUUCUCUUUCUAGUUCUUGCUGCUGAGAUGUGUUGGAUAUAUAUAGAAAAGCUGAUGAUUUAUGUGGGUUUAUUUUGUAUCCUGCAACUUUGCUAAAGUUGUUGAUUAUUUCAAUUAGCUUUUUGGUUGAAUCUCUAGGAUUCUUUAAGUAGACCAUCAUAUCAUCUGCAAAGAGUGAUAACUUGGUCUGCUCCUUGCCUAUUUUGAUGCCUUCAAUUUCUUUUUCUUCUCUAAUUGCUACUGCUAGUGUUUCUAGUACAAUGUCAAAUAGUAGAGGUGAUAAUGGGCAUCCUUGUUUCACUCCUGAUCUUAUUGGGAAUGCAUCUAGUUUAUCCCCAUUGCAGAUGAUAUUAGCUGAUGGCUUUAGAUAUAUACUGUUUAUUAUUUUUAGGAAUGACCCUUCUAUUCCUAUGCUUUCUAGUGUUUUUAGUAGGAAUGGGUGUUGUAUUUUAUCAAAGGCUUUUUCUGCGUCUAUUGAGAUAAUCAUGUGGUUCUUGCUGGUUUUAGAUAUAUACUGUUUAUUAUUUUUAGGAACGACCCUUCUAUUCCUAUGCUUUCUAGUGUUUUUAAUAUGAAUGGGUGUUGUAUUUUAUCAAAGGCUUUUUCUGCGUCUAUUGAGAUAAUCAUGUGGUUCUUGUUGGUUUUAAAUAAGAGAUUUUUAAAGCUAUUAGCAAAGGUUAUGGCAUACAGUUGUUGCUUUAUAAGUGCUGCCCUUUA
rnacentral:lncRNA from 1 species